GCGUGGCGGCGGCUAUAAUGCAAGUCGACGCACAGCGAAAGGUGCUUGCACCUUUCAAGUGAGUGGCGAACGGGUGAGUAACACGUGGACAACCUGCCUCAAGGCUGGGGAUAACAUUUGGAAACAGAUGCUAAUACCGAAUGAAACUUAGUGUCGCAUGAUACGAAGUUAAAAGGCGCUUUGGCGUCACCUAGAGAUGGAUCCGCGGUGCAUUAGUUAGUUGGUGGGGUAAAGGCCUACCAAGACAAUGAUGCAUAGCCGAGUUGAGAGACUGAUCGGCCACAUUGGGACUGAGACACGGCCCAAACUCCUACGGGAGGCUGCAGUAGGGAAUCUUCCACAAUGGGCGAAAGCCUGAUGGAGCAACGCCGCGUGUGUGAUGAAGGCUUUCGGGUCGUAAAGCACUGUUGUAUGGGAAGAACAGCUAGAAUAGGGAAUGAUUUUAGUUUGACGGUACCAUACCAGAAAGGGACGGCUAAAUACGUGCCAGCAGCCGCGGUAAUACGUAUGUCCCGAGCGUUAUCCGGAUUUAUUGGGCGUAAAGCGAGCGCAGACGGUUGAUUAAGUCUGAUGUGAAAGCCCGGAGCUCAACUCCGGAAUGGCAUUGGAAACUGGUUAACUUGAGUGCAGUAGAGGUAAGUGGAACUCCAUGUGUAGCGGUGGAAUGCGUAGAUAUAUGGAAGAACACCAGUGGCGAAGGCGGCUUACUGGACUGUAACUGACGUUGAGGCUCGAAAGUGUGGGUAGCAAACAGGAUUAGAUACCCUGGUAGUCCACACCGUAAACGAUGAACACUAGGUGUUAGGAGGUUUCCGCCUCUUAGUGCCGAAGCUAACGCAUUAAGUGUUCCGCCUGGGGAGUACGACCGCAAGGUUGAAACUCAAAGGAAUUGACGGGGACCCGCACAAGCGGUGGAGCAUGUGGUUUAAUUCGAAGCAACGCGAAGAAC
rnacentral:rRNA from 1 species